UUGGUUGACCUGUGAUAUGGUAGAUGGCAAAAACGGAAACCUCCAUCCUAAGAAGUUGGAAGUGUUUGCUACAAGGUGGUUGAUCUCUAACACUUGGGGAUAUAGAAAACAUGCCUAAGAAAGCUGGAAUAUUGGAAAUUUUGCAGAAAACCUCUAGAAUGUAGGGACAUAUUGGUUACUCCUUGCUGCCUUCACUUAGCUCCAGCAAGAAAACAAAUUUCUUUUACAAAGAACUUCCAGGCACACUCACCCUUCUGGAAACAGAGGGAAGAAAAUAAAAUCAUGCUAAGAAAGACCUUUUCCAUGUACAAGUCAUUGGAGAUGACUUCAAUUCUGUUCGUAUUUUACUUGUAGGGUUAGAGAUACUGAGUUGGAUAAAGUUGGAAUUGAAGCUAAACUGAAGUAGAAGAUAAGAGAGCCAGAAGAAUCAACAGCUUUCUCUCUCAGGCUUCUUUUAAACACCUUCACCUGUGAACUUCCUAUUUGGAAAGGAGAAACAUCAAUUGCAAAGCAAAGAGCCAGUCCUUGGACCACAGUUUAGAGACAUCAUCAAGAAUGCGGCACAGGAUACGGCGUUGCUGGUCUCAGAAAUAGCCUCCACAAUGCAUCAACCAAAGACCCCAGCAAUGAAGAGCAAAGCCCCCUUGGAAUGAGAAUUUAAGACCUGACCU